AGCCGGACGAGUCCUUACCUGGAGCAUUGUGAUGGGUUUUGUUGUGUCUCGCUCCUGCCCCACCUACUUCGUAAGUGGGUAAUUGGCAGCUGUGCUCCAUAAAAAGGAAGCGCGGCUAUCCAGGGCAGACGUCUGCUUUGUCCAGGGACGACUCUGACCGACCUAUCGCCUAUCCCCGACGUUUGGCUGUAGUUUGUUCCACCAUUUGCUCCAGUAACAGAAGUCGCUGCUAAACUACUGGCUGGAUAUUCUCACGGCUGCUCUUUCCCCCGGUGUGCUCAUCAAUUCCAGCUUAGGUAGGUGUACUCCUUCCUGUGUGCAAACAUUAUCGCAUAGCUAGGCCACUCGUUUACGUUAUCUGUUAAUUACAGCAACAUCACAGAGUGUUGCGAUGUCCGGGCUCCCUACAUCUGACGUUAGCUGUUGCAUGUGUGGUUUGAAUCCCAGCUUUCGCCUCAGAGGCUUUGACAUCUGCCCUCUACGGUAAGCCCAAUCUAGUUUCAACAUUGAUCCUGACGAUCUAGCAUUACAUGGUGUUGCUCUGGUAUUGAAGUGCAUGUACAUUGAUCCUGUUUUAAAUAAAUAAAUUGUAAUAGUUUUGUAUUGUAAUCUCACGUCUCUGCCUAUUAUUCAGACUACCAACUUGUGUGACCCUAGUGGUAAACAGGAAAUUAUCAGGUUAAUUUAACGGGUAGGUUCCUGGGUAACAGGGUAUUAGAACCUGGUGACUGUUUAUAUACAAGGUAGGCUACUGUCACACUAGCAUAGAGCAAAUUGGAAACUUAUUUAUAAAUGGUGGUAUGGUUUGGGUUAGUAGUGUGACUUUGUCUUCACUGGUAACAAAGGAAGGAAAACCAGGGC